UGAUACUUUGUAAGAGAGAGUCGUAAGACCACCGAAGAGGAAACAUUGAAGGGCCUGGUCGCCAUUCAGUCGAAACUUUCAGGUAAAAGGACUACAAAGAGGAC
rnacentral:ncRNA from 2 species